rnacentral:rRNA from 1 species
AAACUUUCAACAACGGAUCUCUUGGUUCUGGCAUCGAUGAAGAACGCAGCGAACUGCGAUAAGUAAUGCGAAUUGCAGAAUUCAGCGAGCCAUCGAAUCUUUGAACGCACAUUGCGCCCGCCAGUAUUCUGGCGGGCAUGCCUGUCCGAGCGUCAUUUC